rnacentral:snoRNA from 1 species
GGUCGAUGAUGAUUGGUAAAAGGUCUGAUCGCACCGCGUCACGGCGCUGCCCUCGGCUCCCAGCUGCCCGUGCUCUCCCCGCCCAUCCAAGUCGUGCGCGAGGGGCACGGGGGAGCUGACAGUGUGGGACUCUGCCGGUGCGCGCCCCUGCGAGUGCCCGGGGCCCGGCCGGCAAUGUCCAACAGCCUGGGACCCGUCCAGCAGUGAGCAGGAGCCCGGCGAGCGCGGCCGUCGUGACGGCGACG